rnacentral:ncRNA from 1 species
ACCAUCCUUUCCUUGGGGUUGGGCUACUGUCCAAUGAGCACAUAGUGAGGGCAGUGCUGCUAACACCUACACAAAAUUCCUGCAUCAGCUACAGCUUUGCUUUACCUUGCCACGGUUUCUGGACAA